GUUGGUGCUCCAGGUAGCGGGUGAGGUCAUAGGUUUUCUGGAUGGAGGGGCCAGGCCCUGGGUCCCCUGUGCGAUUGAGAGCUGGCACUGCAGGGAGGUGCCAGAGCACCGUGCACAGGCACGCUAACAUCCCCCACGAGUCCCCUGUGGGCAGGAUGGACGAGAAGCAUGAGCGCGGCCCGGGCCCACACGGGGAAGCAGCUGGCAGCCCCUCAGGUGUCUGUCCCCACCUUGGGCUGGGUGGGGGGUGAGGGUGGGACACCAGAUGGGAGGCAGAGGGGAUGGAGGAGGGGAAACACUCCUGGCAAGACGGGAGAGAAAGAGAGGCAUGUGUAUGUUUGAGGAUGAGGACUUGGCACGCAUGAGUGUCUAUCAGUAGAUACUUGAGAAUGGAUCUGUGUGUCAGCUGAGAGAGUCUUUGGCAUGUGUGCCACUGUGUGUGUGCCAACAUGUAUAUGUGUGUACAUGGAGGGACGGGGCCAGGCCUAGGGACUGCAGGUCGACCUGCCUGUGUUCCAGUUGUACCCUAGCUUCCUGCCAGUCUUCAGUCCCACUGCAGCUUGAGGGGAGUCAGAGGGUGGGAGACAGCACAUGUCAGAGCUGGCAGGCUGAGCACAGUCAGCCCUAAGGGAGGAAGCAGGAGAGAGGCGGCCGCCAAGAACAGACUCACCCAUAGGAAGCAAGGUAUAGGGUUAGACCACUAGGGUCGGGCUGCCUUAUGGGGCUUAGUUUUGGGUAUAUUCUAGGAUGUGAUUCCUGAGUGUGGGAAGUGUAGGGUGGGGUUAGAUUGAAGGAGAUUUAGUGCUCACUCUCAGGGAACGGUGGCAGUGUGGAGGUUCACCCCGUUCUUGGUGUUAGGUGGGGAAAAGUUGGACUUCAAUGAGGCCUUUCCAUCAGCCUGCAAGGGUGGGGACAGGAAGGGAGAGAGGUGCAUUUGACGAGUCGGGCUUGUUGGCUGAUGGCACUGCAGAGUUUGGACAUCCCAGGAUACCAGGAGUCCAGAGGCCAGGGUUGGGUGCUGUAAGGAGGGAUGUGGGCAGUGGGGAAAUAUGCUUUUCUGGGAUUUUAAGUGAGGACCAAGGUGAGGAUUCAGUGGACACUUUGGACUGGCAAAGGCAGUUAGGGUUUGGCUAGGGUAGAUAUAAUUGGCAUUGGGCUAGGUUAGGUUUAAGGACUGGGUUACUUUAAAAGUUUCAGAUUAGUUUAGACUUGGGAUUUGGUUGAUUUAGUGCGGUUGAGGUUUGAGUCCAGCAAGGAUGUGGUGAGGUCUGGGCAGGCAGAGGGUGAGUUGGAGGGCUGUGACUUGGUCGGUUUAGGUAUCAGAUGGGGCGCUGCUUGUCAUGUUAUGAAGAGCAGGGCUAGUUUGGGUUUUCAGCUUGAAUAGGUGUGAGGUCAUGAGUGGUUUCUUUCCUAUAGUUCUUUUUUUUUCCUUUUUUUUUUUUUUUUUUGCUGCCACCUUCUCUUUCCACCACCCCUAUAGUUCAUAUUUUAUACUCUCAGAUUUUUCUAUAAUGACAUAGGUUGCUUUGAUAGGCAGAAAUAACUUAGAUAGGUAUAACGCUUUGCCCAUGGUUAGGAUGGGAUUUGGAUUCAAGAAAGAAUGAAGACUAGGUUAGGUCUAAUCACAGUGCUGGGGCAGUUUUGGAGAGGGCUAAUAACUAGGAAGGAUGCAAGACUCCAUUUGUAUAAAACAUCUCUUAUGGAGGACAGGGGUCAGUGAGGACUUCGGCAGUGGCCCACCUGGUCAGUCUGGACUCUUUCAGAUGUGUGACUGGCCGGCUUUACUAAGGGAGCGUGGCGGUGGGGUACCACAAGUCACAGGGUCUUGGUUUGAGGCAAGUGUGAGUGUGUGUACACGCGUGUGUUUUAGGACAGAGAGUAGGGUCAGGCACUCAACUGCUCCCUGGGGAGACCAGCUCACCCUUUCCUGUCCCCUCUGAGCUUGUGGCUUCCUCCUGGACGCUGCUUUCCUCACUCUUCCUUUCUAUCCCCAGCUCUUGCCUGACUCAGUUCCUUUCUCCUCCCUGCUCCUCACAUCUCAACACAACUCCAAGCCUAGGGAUCUGGCAGUCACCUCUAGGAUCCUAUGGGUACAGAGUAGCAUUAGUUUUGGAGAUUGGAGACCUGCUGAAUUGGGCAGCGGCCCUCCCAGCCUUGAGGUCGCUUUCAGCAUCGAGUCUGGCUUCACUCAAAGUUAGUGGCGAGACCAAGGGUCCCAACUGAAGCCGGAGCUGGGAGCUAGGCUUCCUUCUUUACCCACAUGCUGGCCGGAGUUCUAGGCUCUGCCUUUGUCAUGGCCAAGAGGUACAGUCAGGAACCCAGCUCAGAACUUACCCUCUCCCAUUCUGAGCCCUGUGGGACAUCCCUAGGGGA
rnacentral:lncRNA from 1 species